AUUGAACGCUGGCGGCAGGCCUAACACAUGCAAGUCGAGCGGAUGACGGGAGCUUGCUCCUUGAUUCAGCGGCGGACGGGUGAGUAAUGCCUAGGAAUCUGCCUGGUAGUGGGGGACAACGUUUCGAAAGGAACGCUAAUACCGCAUACGUCCUACGGGAGAAAGCAGGGGACCUUCGGGCCUUGCGCUAUCAGAUGAGCCUAGGUCGGAUUAGCUAGUUGGUGGGGUAAUGGCUCACCAAGGCGACGAUCCGUAACUGGCCUGAGAGGAUGAUCAGUCACACUGGAACUGAGACACGGUCCAGACUCCUACGGGAGGCAGCAGUGGGGAAUAUUGGACAAUGGGCGAAAGCCUGAUCCAGCCAUGCCGCGUGUGUGAAGAAGGUCUUCGGAUCGUAAAGCACUUUAAGUUGGGAGGAAGGGCAGUAAGUUAAUACCUUGCUGUUUUGACGUUACCGACAGAAUAAGCACCGGCUAACUCUGUGCCAGCAGCCGCCGUAAAAC
rnacentral:rRNA from 1 species